UCCAGGGUAGCCGAGUCGACAAGGCACCUGCCCGGUAAGCAGAAGGGUGUGGGUUCGAUUCCCGCCCCUGGAC
rnacentral:tRNA from 1 species